rnacentral:rRNA from 1 species
UGGUGACUAUAGCAAGGAGGUCACACCUGUUCCCAUGCCGAACACAGAAGUUAAGCUCCUUAGCGCUAGCUCAAUUGGUAGAGCAACUGACUUGUAAUCAGUAGGUUGGGGGUUCAAGUCCUCUGGCCGGCACCAUGGAAGAGCCAUUAGCUCAGUU